CUAGGAAAACCGAAAACUGUUCUAGACAGACCUGCGGUUUUAUAGCAGUUUUGGCAGUCAACUUCAGCUUGUGCCUGAGCAGACGGGGCUGUGGUGGCCCGCCAGCGGGGGACUCCAGGCCACCUCCCCCAGCGGCACGCAGCCCCUCUCUUUAAUUAGACCGGUUUUCCCCUGGUGCCAGGGACAGUGGUCCCCGCAGAGAGG
rnacentral:lncRNA from 1 species